AUAGAUAUGAUUGCAAAUGAAUUAUUAAGAAAAAGCAGUUUCUUGAAAAAUAAGGGUAAUACAAUUUACCUAAAUUGAGGUCGAACGACGAAGAACAGUUAUGAAAAAAAUAUUUAUAACUUAUCUUCAACAUAUAGUCGGU